CUACGGGCGGCAGCAGUGAGGAAUAUUGCACAAUGGGGGGAACCCUGAUGCAGCAACGCCGCGUGGAGGAUGACGCAUUUCGGUGUGUAAACUCCUUUUAUAUGUCAAGAAAAUGACGGUAGCAUAUGAAUAAGCACCGGCUAACUCCGUGCCAGCAGCCGCGGUAAUACGGAGGGUGCAAGCGUUACUCGGAAUCACUGGGCGUAAAGGACGCGUAGGCGGGUUGGAAAGUCAGGUGUGAAAUCCUACAGCUUAACUGUAGAACUGCACUUGAAACUUCUAAUCUAGAGUAUGGGAGGGGAGAUGGAAUUAUUGGUGUAGGGGUAAAAUCCGUAGAUAUCACGAGGAAUACCUAAAGCGAAGGCGAUCUCCUGGAACAUUACUGACGCUAAGGCGUGAAAGCGUGGGGAGCAAACAGGAUUAGAUACCCCAGUAGUC
rnacentral:rRNA from 1 species